rnacentral:rRNA from 1 species
AGUCGAACGAAGUCUUCGGACUGAGUGGCGGACGGGUGAGUAACGCGUGAGAAUCUGCCCAGAGGUCGGGGACAACCAUUGGAAACGAUGGCUAAUACCGGAUAUGCCUUACGGGGUGAAAGAUUAAUUGCCUUUAGAAGAGCUCGCGUCUGAUUAGCUAGUUGGUGAGGUAAGAGCUCACCAAGGCAGCGAUCAGUAGCUGGUCUGAGAGGAUGACCAGCCACACUGGGACUGAGACACGGCCCAGACUCCUACGGGAGGCAGCAGUGGGGAAUUUUCCGCAAUGGGCGAAAGCCUGACGGAGCAAGACCGCGUGAGGGAGGAAGGCUCUUGGGUUGUAAACCUCUUUUGUCAGGGAAGAACAAAAUGACGGUACCUGACGAAUCAGCAUCGGCUAACUCCGUGCCAGCAGCCGCGGUAAUACGGAGGAUGCAAGCGUUAUCCGGAAUUAUUGGGCGUAAAGCGUCCGCAGGUGGCUGAUCAAGUCUGCGGUCAAAGACCGGGGCUUAACCCUGGAAAGGCCGUGGAAACUGAUAGAGCUAGAGUACCGUAGGGGUAGAGGGAAUUCCCGGU